UUAGGUCCCAUACUCAUUGUGCCGAAAGCCAUUCUUACAAAAACAAAAACAAAAACAACAACAAAAUCUACUAUUCUCUCUCUUCCUCUUCCUUCUCCCUGCGACCGCCUCGAAUCGCAAUUCCUGCAACUCCUUCACUCUCAGAUUCUCCUCCAUCCUCUCCCGAUUCUUCUCUGCGCUCCGCCGUGUGCCGCCUCUCCCUCCGCCGUCGCUGAAACCCGUGCAAGAUCCCCGCGGCGCUUCCGCGGGACUUCUCUAGGGUUUUCUGAUCUUUCGUUCCUAUCCUUCUUCCAGGACGUCGUUUUUCAAUUGCGCUCACUCUGUGUAGCGUCCACGAGCCGUCAUGGCUCCCGGGCGUCGACGCGGAGCGAACAAAGCCAAGGCAAAUGGCCACUUGAGUCUGGGCGAUCUUGUGCUUGCUAAGGUCAAGGGCUUCCCCGCGUGGCCUGCUAAGAUAAGCAGGCCUGAGGAUUGGGAGAAAAUCCCUGAUCCAAAGAAAUAUUUUGUUCAAUUCUUUGGUACAAAAGAAAUUGCCUUUGUUGCACCAGCAGAUAUUCAGGCAUUUACCAGUGAGGCUAAAAAUAAGCUGUCAGCUCGUCUUCAAGGCAAGACUAAGUACUUUGCCCAAGCUGUGAAGGAAAUAUGUGCAGCAUUUGAUGAGAUGCAGAAACAGAAGGCUAGUGGUUUGACAGAUGACACUGAUGAUUCUCGUAUUGGUUCAGAGGCUCCUUCUAAUGAUGGGGUAGUAGUUAACCUUAAGGAUGCAAUUGACACUGUGUUAUCAAAUGCAGAACAAGAUAACAUUGAUAUGGAGAAUAUUGAUUCUAAUCUAGAGCACUGUACACCGAGAGUAGGGGAAAAUGACAGCCAAGAUGAAAAACACUCUGUAUCUGACCAUCCAAACGAAAGUUCUUCUGUUUCAUCGCCAGUGAUCAAAAGCAAAUUAUCCAUGGGUUCAGAGCCAAAGAAGAAUGCUAACAAAUCAAGUCUUAAAGUUGCUAGUAAUGUUAAUGAUUUUGGGCAAGAUGAUAACAGACAUAGUGGUUUAGCAAAUGGGACCAAGCCAAGAAAGCUUGUCAAUGGUUUGCGAAAGAGAAGUGAAGCUGCAAGUGAUAGAGAUAGAAAUGGUGGAUCAUCUACUGGAAUUUUUAAGGAGGAAAAUUGUACUGGUCGUGGUGACCUAUCUAGGUCCAGAGAAACAAUGAAAGCUGGGAAGAAAAGGAAAAAUGCAUUUGACGUUAAAUUGGAUUCUCCAGAUACUCUUAAAUCAGACAAUAAUGAUAAUACUGGGGAAAAAGAUAGCAAUAUGAUAAAAGUCAAAACAAGUCUUGAGGUAAAAAAUGAGUUGCCUGAGUUCUCGGUUGAUUCCAAGGAUGGCGAUGGUAAAAGUUCUAGUAUGCGGAAGAAGAUGCAACUUCAUGCAACCUAUACGUUAGGGGCAAAUGAAUCUUUACAUGCUACCAAGAAGUUGAAACGCACGGAUACCAAAGAUGAUUCAACUUUGGGAUAUCCUUCAAAAGUUCUGAAAAAAACUUCACCUGGUUCUACAGUUAUUGAAGAGAGACCAUUUAAGAAGUCAGAAUUGAAGAAGUCUACACCAAAUUUGAAAACAGAAAAAAGCUUGUCAUCAAGGGGUAAAAUAAGUGGUGCAGUUUCAGAUGAUUCUGUCCAUGAGCUGCUAUCAGCGACUAGACAUCAUAUUCAGGUUCAAAAAGUUACGCCUGAUUCUUCAGUCAUUGCAUCUGAGGAAAAGAAAGAAAGGAAUUAUCUCAGACUGAAAGGUGAUACAAGUAAUGUUAUGGUAAAACAAGUAGAGAGGAAACGUAGAGCUGUUUGUCUUUUUGAUGAUGAUGACGAUGAACCUAAAACUCCUGUUCAUGGAGCAGCUGGAAAAAAUGUUAAAUCAUCUUCUGUUUCAGAUGCCAAGAGGAGCAACAAUGCACACUCAGAGAAGUCUGAUGUUCCGCUGGCUCAAGGAAGUUCUAGUGAGCGUGAGGAUAGCCAUUUGAAAGAGCCAUCAUCUCAAUUAUAUAACGAAAGUUUGUCAAUCAAGCAGCCUCUAAAAGAGAAAGAUAGAGAGAAAGAUGAUGAAGUCAUUCCUGUGCAUAUUCCUCAUAGUCCUGAAAAUUUAGAUUUGAAGCAGCUUCCCUCCAAUGCAGCAAAAUUGAGCUCUAUCUCUCCCCUGAAAUCACCUCAAUUGGUACCUGCAAAUAAGUCAAGUGCUGAGCGGAAUAAAGCUUCAAAGCUGUCACUUAAAGUUUCCGGUAAUGCUACUCAAAAGAGGGUUGAUCAUGCGCCUUCAAAGUAUUCACAUAACCUGAGCUCUUCUCAGAAUCAAGUUGCUACACAUAAAAAGAAGCCUGCAUCAUUGGCGGAAAUUUCUAAAACUACACCUGAGACAUUGCCUCAGGCAGUUGAAGUUCCUGUUUCAACAAUUGGUUUUAAGGAUACUGAUGCUCUACAUGUUGAUAGAUUGGAGGUAAGCACAGAAGAGAAAAGUACUAUGAAGCAUCUUAUUGCUGCUGCCCUGGCGAAAAGGAAACAGGCUCAUUCACAGUUUCUUCCAUCUGGCUUUCCCAAUGUUCAGGGGGAAACUCCUAGCCCGUCUACAGUUCAGCCAUUUCUGUCUGUCUCGAGCAAUUUUCUGCAUGCAGACAUGCAAGGAGUUUAUGAGCACACAUCAUUGGCUUCUCCACCCGCUAAAGAACAUCAUUCUGCUUCUCAUAAUCAACUUGAUGCUGAUGAAAUUGAGGAUAGAAGAGUUGAUUCAGGGCAAAGGGGUCUAGGUGGCUCACUGAGUGGUGGUACUGAGGCUGCUGUUGCUCGGGAUGCAUUUGAAGGAAUGAUUGAAACAUUGUCAAGGACCAAGGAAAGUAUUGGCCGUGCAACCCGUCUUGCCAUUGACUGUGCCAAGUAUGGUAUUGCCAACGAGGUUGUUGAACUUCUCAUACGAAAGCUGGAAAAUGAACCUAGUUUUCAUCGCAAAGUGGAUUUGUUUUUUCUUGUUGAUUCUAUCACCCAGUGCUCACAUAAUCAAAAAGGCAUUGCAGGAGCAUCCUACAUUCCCACUGUUCAGGCAGCAUUGCCACGUCUUCUUGGUGCUGCUGCUCCCCCUGGAGCUAGUGCCCGUGAAAAUCGUCGUCAGUGUCUCAAGGUUUUGAGGUUGUGGCUUGAGAGGAAAAUUUUUCCUGAAUCAGUUCUUCGCGGUUACAUGGAUGAUAUUGGAGUCUCAAAUGAUGAUAUUACAGUUAGUUUUGCUCUUAGACGUCCAUCUCGGGCAGAACGAGCUGUGGAUGACCCUAUUAGAGAAAUGGAAGGCAUGCUUGUUGAUGAGUAUGGAAGUAAUGCAACAUUUCAGCUGCCUGGCUUUUUAUCUUCACAUGCAUUUGAAGAAGAUGAAGACGAAUAUGAAGAUGAUAUACCAAUCAAAUUGUGUAAGGAGACAUUUGAUGCAUCUCCAGCAGAUCCCACCCAUACCCUUGGAGAAUCAGAAACUUCUACUGUUACCCCAAAUGACAAGCGCCACUGUAUCUUAAAGGAUGUGGAUCGUGAGCUGGAAAUGGAAGAUGUUUCAGGUCAUCCCAAGGAUGAAAGGCCAAUAAUUUUUAACAGUUCUGAUGAAAUUGAUUUGCAACUUCAGGUGUCAGAUAGAAAUUUGGAUCUGACUCCAAGCAUUUCAAAAGAAAUGUCAGCUACUCCUGAGGGUUCUCCUCCUUUGCCCCUUGAUUCACCUCCUCCACCCCCACCUUUGCCUUCAUCACCACCGCCCCCUCCUCCUCCAUUAUCACCAUCUCCUCCCCCACCCCCACCACCCCCAAUGCUACAACCCCCACCUCCUCCUUUACCACCAUCAGCCCCUCCAGUGUCCUUGGUUCCUCAAUCGUCUGUACCAGCUCGGCCACUUCUGUCCCAACCAUUAAUGCCAUCUCAGUCAUCACAUCAGUCAUCCCCACAGUUGGGGUAUCAGCAGAGUGUACCUCAUGACUUUAGUGGCACUAAUAAUGGUAACCAAAUAGUUCCAAUGGCUGGGAAUUCUUUUCCUGGAAGUCACAAUAAUGCAGCUGCCAAAAAUGAAAUAUUUCCACAGCCUCCUUCUUAUGCUCCAACAGCAGGUUGUAGCUCCCAGGAACCUUCUGGUUUUAACCCUUCAAGGCAAUUAGAGUACGGACAGAAUGAUAUGUAUCUAAAUGCUCAAGUUCCUCAACCUAACCAUCAAUUUCAGCAGGGUAAUCCCCCAUAUGCACAAAGACACACACACCCUGGCCCACCCCAAAAUCCACCAAAUCCGUAUCCAUAUUCAAAUCCUACAGUUCAGCAACAUCUUCCACAUUCAUUCCAUCCUCCCUUCCCUUUACCAUCUCUUCCUGAUGGCAGGAGACAAUUUGUUACUGAUGAGCAAUGGCGAAUGCCAUCUAGUGAAUAUAAAACAAACAAUCAACAUAGUGUAUGGAGAGGGAGAAAUCCAUCAUGUCCUGGUCCACCUUAUGGGCAAGAAGGUCAUUUUCAGCCACCAUUUGAAAGGACACCAGUAACCACUGUAGGUUUUCAGCGACCAAUUUCAAGCAACCUACCUGUUGCUCCAAUCUCAGGACACGUUGUGCCUCAGAUGAUGCCCUGUAGGCCGGACAUUCCUUCUGUUAAUUGUUGGAGACCCACUUGAAGUUGAAUGGAGUCUUCUUUUUAGUUUUAGUGGUGUUGCUGGUGGAUCAACAUGAAAGGUUAAAUUGUGCCACAAAGUUAGAUUCGCCUGUGUAGUACAUACAACUUACCCAUGAAGAAAUUUUGAAAACUCGAGGAGGCCUUUGACAGGAUUGUGUAUAUUGUAAUUUUUCCUGACAAUGUAUCCCAGGAACAUUUGCUUACAAGUUUAGCCCAUGUUUUUCACUUGGUUUUGUUAAUACCAAAGAAGAUGGUGAUCAUUUUUUCAUGUUUUGAAUGUGAUAACUGAACAAAGAUUACAGUGCAACUUCUCAUAAAGACUGCUGAUUAUUGAGUGUGUACAGAAAGUUGCAAGUCCAAGGGGACGGUCUCAAAUUCGCUGUACAGAAAAGAGGUGUUUUGGACUCAUAAACAUUCUUGAGAGGGUGUUUAGGCAUGUUUCAUAGCCGCUAUAUUUUAAAAGAUUCAAGCAACCUAAAUUUGAGGGCAAAACCUGUAUUUGGGAGCUAAGAAGCCAUUACAAGAAGAAUUGUGGACCUUCAACAAAAAGUUUACGGUAAAAAUAUCUACAUUUAAACUAUGAUUUUUACCUCAACCCAUUGGUGUGAAAGCCAAAGGUCCGAGAACCUUAGAAAGGGCAACAGAACUGGUUUGAUCACUAACUACAUAUACAAAUCAAAUGCAGUUGUAAUCCUUUUGCAAGCCAUCACAGAUAAGUUUCGCAAUGGCUGCAGCUGAAAUGGUAUGCAAAAUUGGUUUUAAACUGCACCUUGAAGUUGGCUCAACCCAUGAUUUUGACAUGAAUUUGCUUCCAUUAUACUAAAUUAGCACUCUGCUUAAACCACUUGUUUGGAAUAAGGUGUGAAGGCUAAUCGGCUAGAAGAUUUCUGCCUCUGAGCUAGGCCUAGACCAUUUGCUGAUCUUGUAGAAAACCCACCAUUGCUACUACUAUCCUGCUUCAAGAGCAACUCUGGAAUAUGCUGAAGGUUAACUUCAGAUUUAUGAUUCCUCCUGAUAAGUGUAGCCUUCCUUUUAUCAAGGUUACUUUUCCUGUCUGCUAUACCUUCCAUAACAUCAGACCUCACCUCACUACCAGUGGCCAGACUAAAAGCAUUUCGGUAGUGACUGAGAGUUUUGCGGGACAAAGGUUUAGCUCCGUAAUGACCCUGCAAAGAGCGCAUCACUGGGGAGAGCUUCGGCUCCGAGGACUUCCUUCUCAGCGGCUGGAAUGAUUCAAACAGUUCACAGCUUGUACUAUCAGCUGGACUGUUGUUCUCUGUCUCAUCUUGUCUGAAGGAAUAACAAUUUUUAUGCUCAUCACUGAAUUAAAUGCUCAUUACAAGUAAUCAUAUUCAAGGAGAUUCUAUAUUUUAUUUAAUCCAAAUAGAAAACUUGUAUAUUUGUAACCUGUAACCAUAGUUAAAAUAACAUAGCCCCUUUGCAUA